UUACUUACCUGGCAGGGUAGAUACUGUGAUCAAGAAGGCGGUUCACCCAGGGUGAGGCUCAGCCAUUGCACUCUGGCUGUGCCGACCCUUGUGAAUUCCCCAAAUGUGGGAAUCUCGACUGCAUAAUUUCUGGAAGUGGGGGACUGCAUUCGCACUCUCCCCUG
ensembl:snRNA U1 U1 spliceosomal RNA